AUUGAACGCUGGCGGCAUGCUUUACACAUGCAAGUCGGACGAGUGGCGAACGGGUGAGUAAUGCAUCGGAACGUACCGAGUAAUGGGGGAUAACUGUCCGAAAGGACAGCUAAUACCGCAUAUUAUUCGAGCGGCCGAUGUCUGAUUAGCUGGUGGGCGGGGUAAAGGCCCACCAAGGCGACGAUCAGUAGCGGGUCUGAGAGGAUGUUCGGCACACCGGGGACUGAGACACGGCCCAGACUCCUACGGGAGGCAGAAGUGGGGAAUUUUGGACAAUGGGCGAAAGCCUGAUCCAGCCAUGCCGCGUGUCUGAAGAAGGCCUUCGGGUUGUAAAGCUCUGUUAAUCGGGACGCGGUACCGGAAGAGAAAGCCACGGCUAACUACGUGCCAGCAGCCGCGGUAAU
rnacentral:rRNA from 1 species